rnacentral:rRNA from 1 species
UACGGGGGGGGCAAGCGUUGUUCGGAAUUACUGGGCGUAAAGGGCUCGUAGGUGGCCAACUAAGUCAGACGUGAAAUCCCUCAGCUUAACUGGGGAACUGCGUCUGAUACUGGAUGGCUUGAGUUUGGGAGAGGGAUGCGGAAUUCCAGGUGUAGCGGUGAAAUGCGUAGAUAUCUGGAGGAACACCGGUGGCGAAGGCGGGUCUCUGGACAGUUCCUGACACUGAGGCACGAAGGCCAGGGGAGCAAACGGG